rnacentral:rRNA from 1 species
UUGGGCGUAAAGAGCUUGUAGGCGGCUUGUCGCGUCUGCUGUGAAAACCCGGGGCUUAACCCCGGGCUUGCAGUGGGUACGGGCAGGCUAGAGUGUGGUAGGGGAGACUGGAAUUCCUGGUGUAGCGGUGGAAUGCGCAGAUAUCAGGAGGAACACCGAUGGCGAAGGCAGGUCUCUGGGCCAUGACUGACGCUGAGAAGCGAAAGCGUGGGGAGCGAACAGGAUUAGAUACCCUGGUAGUCCACGCCGUAAACGUUGGGCGCUAGGUGUGGGUCCCAUUCCACGGGGUCCGUGCCGCAGCUAACGCAUUAAGCGCCCCGCCUGGGGAGUACGGCCGCAAGGCUAAAACUCAAAGGAAUUGACGGGGGCCCGCACAAGCGGCGGAGCAUGCGGAUUAAUUCGAUGCAACGCGAAGAACCUUACCAAGGCUUGACAUGUACCGGAAACCCUCGGAGACGGGGGCCCCGCAAGGCUGGUACACAGGUGGUGCAUGGUUGUCGUCAGCUCGUGUCGUGAGAUGUUGGGUUAAGUCCCGCAACGAGCGCAACCCUCGUUCUAUGUUGCCAGCACGUGAUGGUGGGGACUCAUAGGAGACUGCCGGGGUCAACUCGGAGGAAGGUGGGGAUGACGUCAAAUCAUCAUGCCCCUUACGUCUUGGGCUUCACGCAUGCUACAAUGGCCGGUACAGAGGGCUGCUAAGCCGCGAGGUGGAGCGAAUCCCUUAAAGCCGGUCUCAGUUCGGAUUGGGGUCUGCAACUCGACCCCACGAAGUCGGAGUCGCUAGUAAUCGCAGA